GCCGGACAAGUAACCAUUCUAAUGUUGAAGUAAUUAUCGGGAUCUCUGGAUGCUUGAUCUCUCGAGAACUUUUCGCCGCCGAGUGAUUGAGCUACGAUUCGCGCAUGGUCCCAACGGGUAGUAGACUUAGUGAGCCGCUUCACAAGAAUCGCACCUCCAAUCAGAACCAGCGUCUUGACAACCAAUCCUCGAGCUCGGCUCCAUCCAUUAGACUCCGAGCCCGUUCCCAUUUUCAAGUAAUUUAUAUCCUCACCAACAACCAAACACCCAGCACCAUCUUCCCAUAUUCUUCGCCUAAAAAAAUCAGAUGAAAUGCAAAAAAUCUGUGGCAGGAUUUCCCUGCGAAGAGGCAAGGGGGAGGAGGAGGGAAUGUGGAGACUGAAAAACAACAGAUAGAGAAAGAUAAGGUUCGAAAGAUUUUGAUGAAUCAGAUGCUUGUCACUUGUUCGAAUCCCGGACUCGCCUGCGCCCAGUUGUCGAUUUGGAGCUGGUUAAAAUUUUCUUUGGGCUGAGCUCUUUGUUUUUCCGCACAGUUGGUUUGGUUCUCCGGUGAGCGAAGCGAGAUUGCGGAUCGCUUGGCUGUGGUCGUAGAAUGACUCUUAUACCCCGCAU
rnacentral:misc_RNA from 1 species